AGGGUAGUGGCGCAAUUGGUAGCGCAUCGGUCUCCAAAACCGGAGGUUGGGGGUUCGAGUCCCUCCUACCCUGCCA
rnacentral:tRNA from 3 species